rnacentral:rRNA from 1 species
UACGUAGGGGCCUAGCGUUGUCCGGAAUUAUUGGGCGUAAAGAGCUCGUAGGCGGUUCGGCAAGUCGGAUGUGAAAUCUCCACGCUUAACGUGGAGGGGCCAUUCGAAACUGCUGUGACUCGAGUCCGGUAGGGGAGUGUGGAAUUCCCGGUGUAGCGGUGAAAUGCGCAGAUAUCGGGAGGAACACCAGUAGCGAAGGCGGCACUCUGAGCCGGAACUGACGCUGAGGAGCGAAAGCGUGGGGAGCGAACAGG